UCCUAGCCCUGAUGGAAGCGGCAUCCUUUUUCUGGUCUCGUUUUUUUUAACGAGAUCAGAAAAAGAUAUAGCGUACAGCAGGAAAUAGC
rnacentral:sRNA from 1 species